rnacentral:rRNA from 1 species
GGGGAAUUUUGGACAAUGGGCGAAAGCCUGAUCCAGCCAUGCCGCGUGAGUGAAGAAGGCCUUCGGGUUGUAAAGCUCUUUCGGUCGGGAAGAAAUAGUUGUGGCUAAUAUCCACAAUGAAUGACGGUACCGACAUAAGAAGCACCGGCUAACUACGUGCCAGCAGCCGCGGUAAUACGUAGGGUGCAAGCGUUAAUCGGAAUUAUUGGGCGUAAAGGGUGCGCAGGCGGUUGUAUAAGUCAGAUGUGAAAUCCCUGGGCUUAACCUAGGAAUUGCGUUUGAAACUAUAUGACUAGAGUGUGACAGAGGGGAGUGGAAUUCCAUGUGUAGCAGUGAAAUGCGUAGAGAUGUGGAAGAACACCGAUGGCGAAGGCAGCUCCCUGGGUUAACACUGACGCUCAUGCACGAAAGCGUGGGGAGCAAAC